rnacentral:rRNA from 1 species
UACGGGGGGGGGCAAGCGUUGUUCGGAUUUACUGGGCGUACAGGGAGCGUAGGCGGUUGGAUAAGCCCUCCGUGAAAUCUCCAGGCUUAACCUGGAAAGUGCAGAGGGGACUGUUCAGCUAGAGGAUGGGAGAGGAGCGCGGAAUUCCCGGUGUAGCGGUGAAAUGCGUAGAGAUCGGGAGGAAGGCCGGUGGCGAAGGCAGCCUCCUGGGCCAACACUGACGCUCAUGCACGAAAGCGUGGGGAGCAAACAGG